CGCUCAAAAUGGCUGCGAUGAUGUACUACCGUUCUCUCUGGCUGCGGUCCGAAACAAGCUUACAGCGCUAACAGCAUGUUCAUAGCCGGUCCGAUUCACGCUCGCAGUGUUCUAAUGAACAAAGUGACGUCAUAGAUACGUGACGUUUCAGCGCUCACGGUGCCCCUGGUUGGAAGAUCCCAGAGCUACAGACGUCUCAUACGUCCAACAUCUGGACACAUUUCUGAUUGUGUAGCCACCACCUCCUACCAUCAAGAAGGUCAAUGAGUCCGCACCACAUUGCAAAACGACAGCAGAGGGUUGGAAAGUUUCCAUUACUUUUGAAAUGAUAGGAACAAAUAUUGACUCGUAACUUUCAUCAUCCAUACCAUCUCUCAAAGAUAAAGCAAUAUGAGGGAAUAAUUAUAAUAUUUAAAAAACUCUCACCUUUCCUGCCCCGAUAUCACGGAGAUCUCCAGUUCCAGGAAAAUAUUCGCCAUAUUUGUGAAAAGAGACUGUCAUUACUCUAUCUGUUGUAUAAAAAGCUUCUUCCACACCAUCGCCAUGAUGAACAUCAAUAUCA